rnacentral:snRNA from 1 species
AUAGUUACCUGGCAGGGGAGAUACCAUGAUCACAAAUGUCGUUUUCCAGGGUCAAGGCUUUUCUGAUGUGCUGACCCCUGCGAUUUCCCCAAAUGUAGGAGACUCUACUGCAUAGUUUGUGGUAGUGGGGGAUUGCAUUCGUGCUCUCCCCUA